GCUGGUGCUAUGGCAAAUACCUGUGGUCACAGCUACUGGGAAGGCUGAAGAGAGAAGAUCCCUUGAGCCCACGAGUUCUGGGCUGUAAUGUGUUAUGCUGACUGGGUAACUACACUAAGUAGAUACAGUGACCUCUUGGGAGCAGGGAACUACCAGGUUGCCUAAGGAGGGGUAAACUGACAGAGGCAGGAAAUAAAGCAAAUCAAAAUUCUCAUGCUGAUCAGUAGUGGGACUGCAACUGUGAAUAGCCACUGUACUCCAGCUUGAGCAACAGAGGAAGACUCUGGCUCUUU
ensembl:misc_RNA Metazoa_SRP Metazoan signal recognition particle RNA